rnacentral:rRNA from 1 species
UGGGGAAUUUGGACAAUGGACGCAAGUCUGAUCCAGCCAUGCCGCGUGCGGGAAGAAGGCCUUCGGGUUGUAAACCGCUUUUGUCAGGGAAGAAACGAGUUUCUCUAAUACAGAGACUUAAUGACGGUACCGUAAGAAGAAGCACCGGCUAACUACGUGCCAGCAGCCGCGGUAAUACGUAGGGUUCGAGCGUUAAUCGGAAUUACUGGGCGUAAAGCGUGCGCAGGCGGUGAUGUAAGACAGAUGUGAAAUCCCCGGGCUCAACCUGGGACCUGCAUUUGUGACUGCAUAGCUAGAGUACGGAAGAGGGGGAUGGAAUUCCGCGUGUAGCAGUGAAAUGCGUAGAGAUGCGGAGGAACACCGAAGGCGAAGGCAAGCCCCUGGGCGUGUACUGGCGCUCAUGAACGAAAGCGUGGGGAGCAAACA